rnacentral:rRNA from 1 species
UACGUAGGGUGCGAGCGUUAAUCGGAAUUACUGGGCGUAAAGCGUGCGCAGGCGGCUUUGCAAGACAGAUGUGAAAUCCCCGGGCUCAACCUGAGAACUGCAUUUGUGACUGCAAGGCUAGAGUACGGCAGAGGGGGAUGGAAUUCCGCGUGUAGCAGUGAAAUGCGUAGAUAUGCGGAGGAACACCAAUGGCGAAGGCAAUCCCCUGGGCCUGUACUGACGCUCAUGCACGAAAGCGUGGGGAGCAAACAGG